CUAAGUGUGUGUUCUGGUCGUGAGUUUCCACAGAGCCAAAGAAGCUCUCUUGUUCAAACCCUAGCAAGCACAAUUUCAACAAAUUGGAGGGGAAAAUCAAACCCAAAUCAAAAUCCAAGCGCAACCUUAGUGAUCACCUUAGAGAAGGGAUCACAAGGCAAGGGAAUUGAAUCUUCAAGCGAACAAGCCGGAGCGGAUAUGCGCUUGAAGGGAACGCACUAAAGGUGAUCGAAUUAUGCACUCGGAUGAAGAUCAAGCAAGUACCAGGAACCGAACACACUACUUUUGAAGCUUCCGCCAUGUUAUAUUUUGUUUUAGUCAGUGCGUGUCAUGUAAACGUUGAUUGUUAUAUUAUGAAUUGUCACACCCCAACCGAUGGCGAAAACAUCGGGAUGAGACGAAAUAGAUUGCAAGAGGCUUCAUAA